rnacentral:rRNA from 1 species
UUUCGCAAUGCCCGAAAGGGUGACGAAGCGACGCCGCGUGGGUGAGGAAGGCCUUCGGGUUGUAAAGCCCUGUCAGGAGUUAAGAAAUGUAAGUGCGCUAAUAUCGCAUUUACUUGACGAAGGCUCCAAAGGAAGCCACGGCUAACUCUGUGCCAGCAGCCGUGGUAAUACAGAGGUGGCAAGCGUUGUUCGGAAUUAUUGGGCGUAAAGAGCACGUAGGUGGGUUUGUAAGUCAGAUGUGAAAGCCUUCUGUUCAACGGAAGAAUUGCAUCUGAAACUACAAGUCUUGAGUGUAGGAGGGGAGAAUGGAACUUCUGGUGGAGCGGUGAAAUGCGUAGAUAUCAGAAGGAACGCCGGCGGCGAAAGCGAUUCUCUGGCCUAUUACUGACACUCAGUGUGCGAAAGCUAGGGGAGCAAACGGGAUUAGAUACCCCGAUAGUCCUAGCUGUAAACGAUGGGCACUAAGUAGAGGGGUUUUA